rnacentral:rRNA from 1 species
UACGGAGGAUGCGAGCGUUAUCCGGAUUUACUGGGUGUAAAGGGAGCGUAGGUGGCGUGCCAAGUCAGGAGUGAAAACCCAGGGCCCAACCCUGGGACUGCUCUUGAAACUGGCAGGCUUGAGUGCUGGAGAGGUAAGCGGAAUUCCUAGUGUAGCGGUGAAAUGCGUAGAUAUUAGGAGGAACACCAGUGGCGAAGGCGGAUGACUGGACGACAACUGACGGUGAGGCGCGAAAGCGUGGGGAGCAAACAGG